GACGAACGCUGGCGGCGUGCCUAAUACAUGCAAGUCGAGCGAAGUUUUUCUGGUGCUUGCCCUAGAAAAACUUAGCGGCGAACGGGUGAGUAACACGUAAAGAACCUGCCUCAUAGACUGGGACAACUAUUGGAAACGAUAGCUAAUACCGGAUAACAGUAUUUCUCGCAUGAGAGAUAUUUAAAAGUUGGUUAUGCUAACACUAUGAGAUGGCUUUGCGGUGCAUUAGCUAGUUGGUGGGGUAAAGGCCCACCAAGGCGACGAUGCAUAGCCGACCUGAGAGGGUGAUCGGCCACACUGGGACUGAGACACGGCCCAGACUCCUACGGGAGGCAGCAGUAGGGAGUCUUCCGCAAUGGGCGAAAGCCUGACGGAGCAACGCCGCGUGAGUGAAGAAGGAUUUCGGUUCGUAAAGCUCUGUUGUUAGGGAAGAAUGGAUAUGUAGUAACUAUACAUGUAAGAGACGGUACCUAACCAGAAAGCCACGGCUAACUACGUG
rnacentral:rRNA from 1 species